UAUACUUUUAAAAAGUAUCAAGUCAUUGGUGCUGGUAAGUUUUUGGCCCUUGGAUUAAGGGAUGUGCGGUUAAGAUGAUGUGGGUCUCUAGGGUUGAGUGGGUGAUUAGUUAAAUAGUAUAAUCUAACAGGUAAAAAUGAUCAAAAGUGUAGAUCUAACGGUAAAAAAUUUACAAACACCAAAUGUGUGUCAAUUUAUUUAGUCAUAAAAGGCCGUUAACUUUUUACUAUUGGCAGUUUGAUCCACUUGUAUUUGAUUUGAUGCAGAACGACCCAUUAUAUUUGCUGUUUCAAUUUGACCAGCAAAACUUGAAAAACACUAACUAGCUAGAUGUAACGACCCAGCCCACUAGCAACAAUAACUCGUUGGGCCCAACCACCGGCCCAAAAUGCUUAAGCCCAGUUAUUAUUACUAGUGUCUAAGUCUCAUAUAUACCCAAUCACAUUCCCAUUCCUAUCCGAUGUGGGAUUAUUGGGUCUGACAGACUCCCCCUGUUAAGGCCCUGACGUUCUCGUCAGUCCAAUCACACACACACCGUUACGGCCCUGACGUCCUCGUCAGUCCAAUCACACACACACCGUUAAGGCCCUGACGUCCUCGUCAGUCCAAUCACACAUACAGCCCAAGAUCACCAGGCGAUAUGAGACUUGUCUCAUUAGCCUUGUCAUCCAGACCCUGGCAUAGCCGGUCACCUUGUCAUAUAGACUCCGGCAUAGCCUAUCACUUUGUCUUUCAGAUCCUGGCUCAUGCCGAGACUCGCCACACAUUUCCAGCUGGUAAUUGGCUAUAAUACCAAAUGUAACAACCCAGCCCACUAGCAAUAAUAACUCGUUGGGCCCAACCACCGGGCCAAAAUGCUUAAGCCCAGUUAUUAUUACUAGUGUCUAAGUCUCUUAUAUACUCAAUCACAUUCCCAUUAAUUCCUAUCCGAUGUGGGAUUAUUGAGGUGUGACACUAGAUUUGUGAUAUUUCUAAUUAACUCA
rnacentral:lncRNA from 1 species